rnacentral:rRNA from 1 species
CUAAGUCAGAUUAGCUAGUUGGUGGGGUAAAGGCCUACCAAGGCGACGAUCUGUAGCGGGUCUGAGAGGAUGAUCCGCCACACUGGGACUGAGACACGGCCCAGACUCCUACGGGAGGCAGCAGUGGGGAAUAUUGGACAAUGGGCGAAAGCCUGAUCCAGCCAUGCCGCGUGUGUGAAGAAGGCCUUUUGGUUGUAAAGCACUUUAAGCGAGGAGGAGGCUACUUAGAUUAAUACUCUAGGAUAGUGGACGUUACUCGCAGAAUAAGCACCGGCUAACUCUGUGCCAGCAGCCGCGGUAAUACAGAGGGUGCGAGCGUUAAUCGGAUUUACUGGGCGUAAAGCGUGCGUAGGCGGCUUCUUAAGUCGGAUGUGAAAUCCCUGAGCCUAACUUAGGAAUUGCAUUCGAUACUGGGAAGCUAGAGUAUGGGAGAGGAUGGUAGAAUUCCAGGUGUAGCGGUGAAAUGCGUAGAGAUCUGGAGGAAUACCGAUGGCGAAGGCAGUCAUCUGGCCUAAUACUGACGCUGAGGUACGAAAGCAUGGGGAGCAAACAGGAUUAGAUACCCUGGUAGUCCAUGCCGUAAACGAUGUCUACUAGCCGUUGGGGCCUUUGGGGCUUUAG